UAUUGUUUUUAAGUUCUACUAUUUCUUUGUUCAGCCUUUCGUUAUCUUUAGUUAAGGUAUUAUUCUUUUGAAUUAAGAUUUGAUUGCUUGUCUUAAGUUCUGAAUUUUCUUUGAUAAUAAUAUCUUUUUCUUUAACUAAUGUAUCAUACUUCCGGAGGUGAGUUUGGUUAGUUAGUUUUAAUUCUUUGUUUUUAAGGUUUAUUGUCUUGUACUCGUCCAUUAAUUCAUUGAAGGCAUCAUAUAGUUCAUCGAAAGU
rnacentral:lncRNA from 1 species